CCUACGGGAGGCUGCAGUGGGGAAUAUUGGACAAUGGGGGGAACCCUGAUCCAGCCAUGCCGCGUGUGUGAAGAAGGCCCUCGGGUUGUAAAGCACUUUCAGUGAGGAAGAACGCCUGGUGGUUAAUACCCAUCAGGAAAGACAUCACUCACAGAAGAAGCACCGGCUAACUCCGUGCCAGCAGCCGCGGUAAUACGGAGGGUGCGAGCGUUAAUCGGAAUUACUGGGCGUAAAGCGCGCGUAGGUGGCUUGAUAAGCCGGUUGUGAAAGCCCCGGGCUCAACCUGGGAACGGCAUCCGGAACUGUCAAGCUGGAGUGCAGGAGAGGAAGGUAGAAUUCCCGGUGUAGCGGUGAAAUGCGUAGAGAUCGGGAGGAAUACCAGUGGCGAAGGCGGCCUUCUGGACUGACACUGACACUGAGGUGCGAAAGCGUGGGUAGCAAACAGGAUUAGAUACCCGAGUAGUC
rnacentral:rRNA from 1 species